rnacentral:tRNA from 1 species
GGGGCAAUAGCUCAAUUGGUAGAGUGCUUGCCUUGCAUGCACAAGGCCCUGGGUUCAAUCCCCAGCACCA